CCUACGGGUGGCAGCAGUGGGGAAUAUUGCACAAUGGGGGAAACCCUGAUGCAGCGACGCCGCGUGAGCGAAGAAGUAUUUCGGGAUGGAAAGCUCUAUCAGCAGGGAAGAAAAUGACGGUACCUGAGUAAGAAGCUACGGCUAAAGACGUGCCAGCAGCCGCGGUAAUACGUAGGGAGCAAGCGUUAUCCGGAUUGACUGGGCGUACAGGGAGCGUAGGCGGCCUGCCAAGUCUGAUGUGAAAUACCGGGGCGCAACCCCGGGGCUGCAUUGGAAACGGGCAGGCUGGAGUGCCGGAGAGGCAGGCGGCAUUCCUUGUGUAGCGGUGAACUGCGUAGAUAUUCGGCG
rnacentral:rRNA from 1 species